rnacentral:rRNA from 1 species
GUCUUUUUGUUAAAUAAUUUAAAGUUUAAUCUGCCCCCUGAUUAAAAAUUAAAGGGCUGCAGUAUAUUGACUGUACAAAGGUAGCAUAAUCAAUAGUCUUUUAAUUGAAGACUUGUAUGAAAGAUUUGAUGAAAUAUAAACUGUCUCUAAAUUAUAAAUUGAAAUUAAUUUUUUAAUUAAAAAGUUAAAAUAAUUUAAAAAGACGAGAAGACCCUAUAGAGUUUUAUAAUUAUAUUUUUUUCUUUAUUAUUAUAUAAGUAUUAAAUUUAAAUAAAUAUAAUUAUUUUAUUGGGGUGAUAGAAAAAUUAAAUUAACUUUUUUUAAAAAAUUAUCAUUAAUAAGUGAAUAAAUGAUCCAUAAUUAAUGAUUAAAAGAAAAAAUUACCUUAGGGAUAACAGCGUAAUUUUUUUUUUUAGUACAAAUAAAAAAAAAAGGUUGCGACCUCGAUGUUGGAUUAARAUAAAAUUUAAAUGCAAAAGUUUAAAAUUUUGAUCUGUUCGAUCAUUAAAAUCUUACAU